rnacentral:rRNA from 1 species
UACGGAGGAUGCAAGCGUUAUCCGGAAUGAUUGGGCGUAAAGCGUCCGCAGGUGGCUGUGUAAGUCUGCUGUUAAAGAGUGAGGCUCAACCUCAUAAAAGCAGUGGAAACUACACGGCUAGAGUGCGUUCGGGGCAGAGGGAAUUCCUGGUGUAGCGGUGAAAUGCGUAGAUAUCAGGAAGAACACCGGUGGCGAAAGCGCUCUGCUAGGCCGCGACUGACACUGAGGGACGAAAGCUAGGGGAGCGAAUGGG